CAGGGUCAGAGAUGUAGGUCCUGCAAAGGUCACAAUGCAGACAGGCCCUGCCAAAUCAGGGUCCAAGGAUACCUGGGUCAGUAAGCAAAGAAAGUCACGGUGGAAAUGGUUAUAAAUGCAUGGGGCCGUCAAAGCCAAUCAUCCACAAAGAAGUUGGGAGAAGUUGAAGAUCCUGUGGCUGUUGUAUUUGAUGGUGGCUCCAGGUACUUCAAAGUGGGGUAUGGCGGAGAACAAGCCCCCCGAUUUGUUUUCCCAUGCGUGGUUGGGUGCUACCAAAGGCAGAUCCUAUUCAGGCAUGCUUCGUCAAGUCCAGGGACA
rnacentral:lncRNA from 1 species